rnacentral:tRNA from 1 species
UUCCGGAAAGUGUAGUGGGUUAUCACUUUCGCCUUACACGCGAAAAGGUCCCCGGUUCGAACCCGGGCGGAAA